ensembl:snoRNA
UUGGCCUCUAAUCAAGCCUCGCAGUUUUCUGAAGCUGUUGGCUUCAAGCAGGAGUUUAAAGUGAUAUUUUCCUGUGGUCUCUUGGCCAUAUUAGAACUUUAGCAGUGUAAUUCAUUAUAAAGGAACAGCU